CCUGUUGUACAACCAGCAGUUGCCUAUCCGGACAUGCGUGACUGGUAACGGCCGGGUGUGACGCUCUGGAGAGAACGUGCCUCUGAAUCGAAGGUUCACCUCGGUAACGAGGAAGUGAAAGACAACACCAGCAAAACC
rnacentral:ncRNA from 1 species